GACGAGGUGGCCGAGAGGUUAAGGCGAUGGACUGCUAAUCCAUUGUGCUCUGCACGCGUGGGUUCGGAUCCCGUCCUUGUUG
rnacentral:tRNA from 1 species